rfam:Thermoplasmatales archaeon SG8-52-3 WOR_8-12_786, whole genome shotgun sequence.
GGGCCUGUAGGGUAGCUUGGUAUCCUUGUAGCUUCGGGAGCUAUAGACUUGAGUUCAAAUCUCGGCAGGCCCA